GAAAAAUGAAUGGAUAAACAUCCAGACCAAAGUCAACAGUGCUGGAGAGUCCAAACCGGUCUCCGCAGCCGGGGAGGUUUCGACACGGAAGGAAGAUGCCAGAUGGCAGUUUUUACAUUUAUUUAAACAGAAAACGUGCACAUGAGCUGCCUACUCAUUUUCUUCACUGCGCAGCCUGGCAUUGGGGUUGGUGACUCUGAUGGCCAGUUGGGCAGCUCUUUCCACGAUGGCUUUGCGGUUCUUGGAGGAAACAUUGUGAGCGAUCUCGGCACAGUAAGAUUUGUUGCACAUCAGCAGCACUUCCAGCUCCUUGACGUUGUGGACCAGGAACUUCCGGAAGCCACUGGGCAGCAUGUGCUUUGUUUUUUUGUUGCUUCCAUAACCAAUGUUGGGCAUCAAGAUCUGGCCCUUGAAUCUUCUACGAACCCUGUUGUCAAUGCCUCUGGGUUUCCGCCAGUUACGCUUAAUUUUGACAUAUCGGUCUGACUGGUGCCGGAU
rnacentral:lncRNA from 1 species